rnacentral:rRNA from 1 species
UGGGGAAUCUUGCACAAUGGGGGAAACCCUGAUGCAGCGACGCCGCGUGAGCGAUGAAGCCCUUCGGGGUGUAAAGCUCUUUCGGCAGGGAAGAUUAUGACGGUACCUGCAGAAGCAGCUGCGGCUAACUACGUGCCAGCAGCCGCGGUAAUACGUAGGCAGCAAGCGUUGUUCGGAGUUACUGGGCGUAAAGGGUGCGUAGGCGGCUCGAUAAGUAUGGUGUGAAAUCUCCCGGCUUAACUGGGAGGGUGCGCUAUAGACUGCCGGGCUGGAGUGUGGGAGAGGAAAGUGGAAUUCCUGGUGUAGCGGUGAAAUGCGUAGAUAUCAGGAGGAACACCGGUGGUGUAAACGGCUUUCUGGACCAUAACUGACGCUGAGGCACGAAAGCGUGGGUAGCAAACAGGAUUAGAUACCCUGGUAGUCCACGCCCUAAACGAUGCAUAUUUGGUGUGGGUCAUUCAGUUGAUCCGUGCCGGAGCUAACGCGUUAAA